CAGUCGACGUCCAGGUUCACUUGGAACUGCAGUCACAACAGCAUGUGCAACAGUUGCGUCUGAACGAAAGUUACGAGAAGAUACAUUGUGAUUGACUUAAUUAUUCCAGUUGAUAAGGAGUUGGAAGGUUCUAGAACCAUUGCUGAGGUCAGACAACGUCCAUUGAAGAACGGUCAGUGUCUGAAGAACCCAGCAUGAACGUGGAAAGUAUGGAAGCCGUGUGUUAUACAAUGCAACCGAUGAAAAUGCUACAUUGUUCGAGGAGAAACAAUUUGUGAAUAUAAUUUGCCUUUCAACGUUCCAUCAAGAUGUCCGAGAAACGCAUCUCGCUAGGCAUUAACGUCAGCAUUCUCGUGAUUCUAACGAUCUUCGGUGUGCUAUUAUCUUUACCUUUACGAUUACUGUUGAACACGAAUUACUACAGUCGCAACCAGACCAUCGAUACAAAUGAUACCACAGAAAUGGAAAACGCAACGAUGUCCAAUACAUUAGUGAUUCCGAUAGACCAUCGGAAAUUAAAGCGGUGUCCAAGACUCGGCUAUGAGGAUCGCCUACAGUCGGUUUUCCGCACCGAUUACGACGGGAAUUGCACGUAUGUGCGAAUCUAUACGACCGACGAAUUGAUGAAGAAGAUUGGAGAAGAUACGAGCAAGACGAUCGACGAUGAUAGCAAAGGGUUGGCGGUCUCGAAGGAGACCGAUAGUGAGAACUUGACAGAAAGCACGGAAGAUUGCGGGAAAGAUCGUCGAAUGAAAUCUGUUCCAGUGGCAGGACAUAUUCUCGUGACGAUGCUUCUGAUAUCAGCGAUAGCUGCUCUAGUUGAAGUGUUGCGAAUACGUUUCGCUAGAGACAAGGACUCGUCUAAGGCAGGUAAUGCCAGCUCGAGAAAAGCUUCCACGAUCGAACUUCCCGUGCAGAGACGCUUUAUUCCGAGGGAACCGAUGAAGAGUCAGAGGUCUUUUGAAAUGCAAGGCAUGCAUCGAUCCGCUUUACGCUUAUUAGGUGCAAGACCACCGCCGCUAAUUCGCCGUUCCUCGUUUCCGUCGCAACCCUCCACGCAAACUGCUGGCUCAUUGAGCGGCACCCCGAAUAAUCGGAUGUCACGUCGUCAAUCAGCAGAGAAUGAGGACGAAAUUGGAAAUCACAUUAACGCUCUUCAGCAUCGCACACGGCUGAUUCGACGACAUUAAGUAAGGCCGAUCUAUUCAGUUAUUUGAAACUACACUCGUGUUAACACUAACAGGGUACUCGUCUUAGACUAAAUGGUCUCACGUAUCGCAUAACAAUUAUAUCCACGACUUUUUCUGAACAAUUCUUACUACUUGGAAAACCCACCAUCCAAAAGGACUUCCAUAAAAGACGUUAUUGCUUUCAAAUUGUACUUAGCGGCUCCAACGAUUUACUAGCAACUUUGUAUUAACAGUUGAAACUCUGCUGAUGCUAAGCUACGCAAUCUAUUUGCUUACAACCCUCAAUAGUUCCAUACCAUUUUUUUUUUAUCAGAUGACGUGACAAAUAGGAGAAUGUGUAUGCGAACAGAAGACCGCAAAAUCUGUUUGAGACCGGAAACGGAAGGGAGUCAAACGUCCUUGCUUCCUCAUAUCCUUCCACGUACGAACAACGCA
rnacentral:misc_RNA from 1 species